AUUGAACGCUGGCGGCAGGCCUAACACAUGCAAGUCGAACGGUAACAGGAAGCAGCUUGCUGCUUUGCUGACGAGUGGCGGACGGGUGAGUAAUGUCUGGAAACUGCCCGAUGGAGGGGGAUAACUACUGGAAACGGUAGCUAAUACCGCAUAACGUCGCAAGACCAAAGAGGGGGACCUUAGGGCCUCUUGCCAUCGGAUGUGCCCAGAUGGGAUUAGCUAGUAGGUGGGGUAACGGCUCACCUAGGCGACGAUCCCUAGCUGGUCUGAGAGGAUGACCAGCCACACUGGAACUGAGACACGGUCCAGACUCCUACGGGAGGCAGCAGUGGGGAAUAUUGCACAAUGGGCGCAAGCCUGAUGCAGCUAUGCCGCGUGUAUGAAGAAGGCCUUCGGGUUGUAAAGUACUUUCAGCGGGGAGGAAGGGAGUAAAGUUAAUACCUUUGUUCAUUGACGUUACCCGCAGAAGAAGCACCGGCUAACUCCGUG
rnacentral:rRNA from 1 species